UACGAAGGGGGGCUAGCGUUGCUCGGAAUCACUGGGCGUAAAGGGUGCGUAGGCGGGUCUUUUAAGUCAGGGGUGAAAUCCUGGAGCUCAACUCCAGAACUGCCCUUGAUACUGAAGGUCUUGAGUUCGGGAGAGGUGAGUGGAACUGCGAGUGUAGAGGUGAAAUUCGUAGAUAUUCGCAAGAACACCAGUGGCGAAGGCGGCUCACUGGCCCGAUACUGACGCUGAGGCACGAAAGCGUGGGGAGCAAACAGG
rnacentral:rRNA from 1 species